ACCGAAUAGUUCUCUUGUUGCAUAGGGAGAAUUGGAUUCAGAAGGUAUAAAUAACCCGGGAAGAAAAACAAAAAUGCAGAUAGUUCACAUUCGUUUCCCAGUGUUCUUUCUUUGGGUGUAGCUGCUUUUGUCCGUCAUUUAUCAAUUGAAACUCAGGUCUCUUUGAUACUUUAUUUCUUAAUUCAAUGUUGUUGUUGUUGUUUGAAAUUUUUAUUUGCUGACUUUCUAGUGUUUUUUAAAAUUUCAUCCCUAAUUUUUUUUGUUUCUUUUCUCCUUUGCUGAUGAAAGUAUUUAGAGAUAUAGAUUCUCAUCUAAUGAUUCACCAAUAUUCUCUUGAUGGUAUUCUAUGGAAUACCAUGAUCUCAGAAGAAUCAAAAUCCAAAUGACCAAAGAAUCAUAAAACAAUGUAUGAUAGGUAUAAGAAGGAAAGAAAUAAAAAACAAAACAGCAUUAAUGAGUAUGAAUGAUCAUAUAAGGAUAAAUGGAGGAUCUACAAGUGAAAUUAAGCCUUUUAGGAAGGAAAUGAUUAUGAGAGCUGGAGAAGAGGAAAAAUUAUAAUCUAAGCAUGAGAAUCAGGGUAGUAAGUAGGAGGAUAAAAUAGGUCUGUCAGUAUAAGAUUUGGGCAGCAGGGGUGGGGAUGUUAUACAGAGAAGAUUAUAUGACUGCUCUAAAGCAGCGUUCAGGUAGCACUCAGUGAGCCUAAGAGAAAAUUGGAAAGACAUGAAAUGGGUCAAGAAGGGAAGAUCUGACAUUGAAGACCAACUGUAAUUAGAGUAAGGGUUGUGGGAAGAGAUUUGGGCUUCAGACAGAGUCCCUGGGUUCUGAUCCUGACUCUAAUGCCUCCUACUUGGGUUAAACCCCAUCUGCUCUGCAGGAUACAAGUGUCUCACCUGUCAAACGAGCCAUUUGGACUCAGGUCUCUUCUAUCUCAAAUUCUCUGAUUCUGUGAGCUGAUAGGGUGUUUCUAGUUAUUACAGUAGCCACAAAGUUCAAUUAAAAUGACUUGCUGAACUGAAAGGUCAUAGCUGUAUUCCCACAAAAUAGCUGCUAUUUACACACACAAAUGAUGUUUUAAGUUAUGGGGAAGAUUCAUAGAAUUUACAACUAGAAGUUCACUUGAGAUCACUCCAUCUAAUUUUCUUUGUACUGAGGAGGAAAUUGAGUUCUAAAGAAUUGGAUAAGGAUUUGAUAUAAUGAAACAGAGAGAGAGAGAGAGAGAGAGA